CACCUGAGGCCAAGCAGGGACCCGCUGUGACCCAGGGGACACGUGGGCGAAAGCAAAUGAGGCGCACACGUGAGUGGUCCGCUUGGGGCCUGGGACAGGUGCUCAGGGAAGCAGGAGGAGGAGCCUCUGAGCAGGAGCAGGCCUCCCCCAGCCCAGGAGGGGAAGAGCUGGGUGGGCAUGAACAAGACAUGCAGGGCAGCCUCUCAGUCCACACCAAGAGCAGCACACCGAUCAAAGUGAUCUCUCGUUCUCAAGAAAAAGGAGGCCAAGUCUCCCAGUGCAUGUUUGUAGGCACAAACACACACAUAACAUAUGCAUGUACACAUGCAGACAUGCACAGAGCACACAUACUCACACACACAUAUAUAUGCAAUAUAGACAUGUGUAGAGCACAUGCACAUUAAUGUGUACACAUAAAGGUGUAUGUGUACAUGCAGAUAUGCAUGGAGCACAUGGACAUAAACAGGUAUGCAGAUAUAUAUACACAUGCAGACAUGCACAGGGCACAUGCAUAUAAACAUGUGUGUGCAUGCACACAUGUGGACGUGCAUGGAGCACACCACCAGGAGCACAGCAAGGCCUCCUGGGCCUCUUCCUUCCUCACACACGGGCAGUGUGGAACUGUGAGCGUGUCCUCCAGCACACUGAGCCCACAUAAGAUGUGGGGGUGCCAGAGCAGCAGCCCCUCCCUUCAGCCACGUGAGCCCUCCCUAGGCCACACAGUGGGUCCCAGCACUUACGUAUGCAAUUCCAUGUCUGGGUCCUCCCUCCUGCCCUCUUAUUGCCCCCACUGUGUCCCCUCAAACUCAUGCUGAAGCCCCCGCUCAAGCUGGUGGAGGCCUCUGGCCCCCUGGGAGAGCCGGGCCUGGACGAGUCUAACUGAGAAGGAACGUGGCCCCAGGCCUCCAGAGAAGGUGGACACCCCGCGGCUCUUGUCCGUCCGCUCCCGUCUCACGUCAGUGGACACACUAGUCCUUGGCUCCUGAGAGCCGGGCUUCGUGUCUCCACAGGAAAAGCCCUGAAGCUGGGGCCCCUGGAAAUGUUCUCAUUAAAGGGCUAAAUAAUUAACCUGAACACGUCAUUUAUUUGCUUUGGCCAUAAAACUGCACUUUUGUGCAAAUGCAGUAGUCCUAUCAAAGGGGAAAUUGAUCCUUUUUUCUUGCUCAUCUGUUUUCUAUGGGGUCAUAACAGUGACAUGGCUACCCAGGCAGUGACCUUGGGCCCGGCCUCGCCUGCGGCACCUGCUGCCACAGAGUCACGUGGUGCAGAGGUCACGGGCAGCAGGCUCCCGUCUCCUCCUGGACAGCCAGCACUCACCUCCAGGGCCUGGGGCGCCUCUAUUUGUCUGAAACACAUUUCCAGGCACAAAGGCCAUCGCAGGCCUAUGACGUUACACAGACGCGCUCUCCUGUUCUGUUCCACGGUCCCACCACAGCGGUUUCCCCAGACGGUGGAGUCUGAAUAGAAUUCUGGCAUGAUGGCCACAUGUGGACACAAGCGUCUCUUUAUAGUUCCAAGCUGGCAGCGACAUCCUGUGCUGACCCUGAGGGCCAUGGGCGCUCCGAGAGGAGCCCAGGACUCCGUCUCUCCAACCCACUGGGCCCGGGGCCUGGACACCGCAGUUCUCCUCGGAGUCCUUCUGGUGCAGGUGGAAGCCUCGGAUCUCAGGCCUGCAGAACUCCCCUCCCGGGGUCAAGGGACCUGUGAUGUUUGACCUCCAUGUGUCAUAAGCUCCUGGUUGUACGUGGCUCGCUAUUCACCUGAAAGUCCUUCCAUUUGCUGUCAAGGAAGCGAGUGUUAUUCUGGGCAGGGCCACCAGACACAAUCCAGCCAUGCCCUGCAGGGCAGGGUCCAGUACGUGUGUCACCGGGUGCCUGCGAUAGGAAAGAAUCUCACGGACAAUGGAGGGCCGCCUGUUACAGCCCCUCUUACUGUAAAUAUGCCAAAGGACCACAUGCUGGAAGCAAGUCCAUCCCAACCUCAUCCAGGGAGACCCAGCAGUGGGAGGGAGCAGACCAUGACUACUCAGUUUGGUUUUAUCUCUGACGUCUCAGGAAAAAACAAAGCAUGUCCCCACCAGCGGGAGAAGGAUGAGGCGCUCUGGGCAGCAUCUCUGGCUUGACUCGGGCCUCAGCCUCUUGGUUUGAUGCAAGGUUCACGCCCUCACCCAGCUCUGGGAUGUGGGCUGGCCCGGGCUGUGGGACAGGCCCUGUGCCCUGCUCUGGGAGGGCCACUGCUGAACUGCCAUCUUCAUCCCUGAAGUGCAAUGCUGCAUCUAUGCAGGUAAGGAAGUGGACACUCAGAAAUACAGAAAAUUGACAUGGGUCGAGACAAGUAGGAUAAUCAAGAGAAGAUGCCAAAUGGAACCUGGUUCCGUUCUUUGCUCACCAAGGCACCGGCGUGAUGUGACCUUUUUCCAGUGAUCUUUGCAGAUCGAGUUCACAACUGAACAAAGAGUCCUGUGCUCUCAGUCCAUUGGCUCAGAGGCUGAGCAGUACUGCUGCGGUCCUGGCAAGGGAAUAGUCCCUGCGCAUCAGUCAUCAGAGCAACGAUGCGCUCGGCCGGCCAGGCGCUCCCCGGCCUUGCCCCCCGUUGUGGAUGACAAUGGCAGAUCUGUGUCCAGGUCACCCACCUGCCUGGUGAAGUUUAUUCCUAAGUAUCUCAUUCUGUUUGCCACUCCUGUAAAUGGGAUUGUUUCCUUGAUUUUUCAUUCAGAUAGUUAAAGUAUAGAAAUGCCAUUCAGUUUUGCAUGUCCAUUUUGUAUCCUGCAUGUUACUGAACAGCUUCUUUGUGGAGCCCUUAAGGUUUCCUAUGUAGCAGCUCAUGUCAUCUGAAAACAGAUGUUUUACUCCUUCCUUUCCCAUUGGAUGCCUGUUAGUUCUUCUUCCUGCCCAAAUGCUGUGACUAGGACCUCCAGGGUGGGCUGGACAAAGGCAGUGAUGGCGGGCUUAUUUGUUUUGCUGCUGAUCGAGAGGAAAGUCUUUCAGCGCCUCAUCACUGAAUUUGAUGCUUAUGAAUUUUCUAUGCGCCUCAUCAUUGAAUUUGAUGCUUAUGAAUUUUCUAUAGCUCUUUUGUUGAGCAGUUGUGACAGAGACCAUCUGGCCUGAGAAACCUAAAAUUAAUCUGGUGCUUUACAGAAAAAGAUGACCCUUUUCUAAAACGUGGCUGCAUUAACACUGCCUGAGCCAUGCACUGUACUGUCAGUUACUGACAUACCGUCUCCCUGGGGGACCAGAACCCGGAACCCGUCCUAUUCACUUCUCUCUCCCCCACAUCCAAACACCAGCCUUACCAUAGACUCCAGUAAGCACAGGUGGGUGCACGAGGGCCCCAGGGAGGAAAGCACACCGCCUGAGCCCUCCCCUAUGGGGCAUAAGGGGACUUGUUUGGAAACAUCACCCAGAAACUAGUCACAGUGUUUCACAGCACAGGGCAUAGCUGAUAGUGAAGAUCAAGCGGAUGCCGUUCUGCGACGCACUCGAGGGGAAUGAGAAGUGUAUACCCGCUGCUGCUGAUAACGGGCAUAAACUGAGUUUUGAUAAAAUAAGUAUUUUCUGAUUGACCUCGUGGAAGAUCUAAAUGAAGGGUUAUUGUCAUAUCCGAUUGAUCUUUCAUAGCCAGUAACUUUUACUAUUUUAACACUGAAAGGGGUCGGUGAUCCCGAACCGAGUGACUUCCAGACACCUUGGAGGGGUUGUUAAUGGCCUUCACUGCGGGCCUACAGUGCAUCGAAUAAAGGACCCUUGUUUAACUGCA